CACGUAGGGCGCAAGCGUUGUCCGGAAUUAUUGGGCGUAAAGAGCUCGUAGGCGGACUGUCACGUCCGCUGUGAAAAGCUAGGGCUUAACCCUGGCCUUGCAGUGGAUACGGGCAGACUAGAGGUAGGUAGGGGAGAAUGGAAUUCCUGGUGUAGCGGUGAAAUGCGCAGAUAUCAGGAAGAACACCCGUGGCGAAGGCGGUUCUCUGGGAUGGUACUGACGCUGAGACGCGAAAGCGUGGGGAGCGAACAGG
rnacentral:rRNA from 1 species